ACGGGCGCCAGUUUGACGAGAACAAACGGGCCAUCAAGGACGCCGGUGGCAUCGCUGCGCUUAUUCGCCUCCUCGUGACGGGCAUCCAGUGGAAUCUGUCCUCCUGUGAGGACUCAGGAGCUCAAGACGUGCAUACUGGACGAGGCGGUGCCGGCGCUGGUGGUUGUUGUUGUUGAUGUUCCCCGAGCCCCGGUCACGCCAGGAAGCCCGCGCCGCGCAAGAAAGCCGCCGCCCGAGCCGGCUCGGACCAUAGCUGCGCGAUGGAUGUUAUGCCUGCCCGGAGCCUGGGUGCUGCCUACUCCGGGCACUCAAGCAGAAGAUGCUUGACGGUGUGGGGGAGUGAAUGACACUGGGGGACAGGUCUGUUUGAGUGCUGUCCAGGCGGUGUUUGUAAGGGGAUGGGGACCGCAGCGGAGUCUGCUGAGGUGCACCCUGUCUGCACGGCUCAACUGCUGUUAUGUAUGGCUGAUGUCUGGUGGUAUGUCAUCAAAAGAAGGAAGAGCAGCAGUGGCGUGACGGAUAGAGUUUACUUACCACACAUUAUUUUCUCCAGCUUGUUUUGGGACUUUACCGGAUAACCAGCUGAUGUUGACGGACAGGUCGGAGUCACCGCAGCUAACGCGGACCUGUUUAGGUUAGCUGACACAACUGCUGGGUCUCAUCCAAGCAUUUUUCUCGCAAAAAACUGGGAAAAAUAAUUAUCCAAUCUUUUCAGCCCUCUAGUGUUAGCAUUGGUGUGUGUUGAUGUAAUUGUGAUGUUGUUUGCGUAAGACGAAAUGUGAAUGUUGUCUGGUGGGGCUGGAAUGUCGUGCAUGUAAAGGUUGAAAAGUGUUGGUGAGAGGACUGAUCCUUCGGGUACUCCGUUCGGUAUGUUCUUUGUGUGUGAUGAUAUGCCAUUGUAGUGAACGAAUGACUGUCUGCCUGUUAAAUAGUUUGCAAGCCAACGUUUGGUGUUGUUAUGUAGUGUUGUUUUAUAGAUUUUGUCUGUGAGUGAGAAGCAUGUGAUGGCAUCAAAUGCUUUGCUAAUGUCGAUUGUGAUCAGAAGUGUGCGAUGUGCAGGGCGCUUGGAGUUUAUGCCAUAUUGUAUACGUUGUAUGAGGUUAGUGAGGAGUGUGGUGGUGGAGUGAUGGGUUCUGUAUCUGUGUUGUGUGGGUGAGAGGGGAAUGUGUGGCGUGGUUAUGGAGAGUAUGAGGCGCUCUACAACUUUGGGUGGUGUGCAGAGGAGUGUAAUGGGCCUGUAGGAGGCUGCCUCGGUGGGGGUUUGUUCGGUUACAGGAGAGUUAUGAUUUUGCCGGUUUUCCAGAUUGAGGGUAUGAUGCAGUUGGCAAAUGAAAAGUUGUCUAUAUUUGUGAGAGUGAUGAUACCAUGCGGGCCGAGGUGUUUCAGAUGAAUGUUUGAGAUGUUGUCUGGCCCCAUGGCUGAAGAAUUUUUGAGCUGUUUUAUGAUUCGUGAGGUGUCUGAUGCUGUGGCUAGGAUGUAGUUAUUCGCUAGUGGAAAUUUGUGUUUGCGCCUGUAAAUUUGUCUGUCUGCCCUGUGCUUGGGUAGGUGACUUAUGCUGGCAUAAUAAUUUAUCAAUAUGUUGGACUGUUGUUUGCGGGAAGGGAUGGUAUCCGAGGAGGUAAUUGCCGAGUGAGAGUUUACCUUGGGGACAUAUUUCUUAUCAGCUUCGGCGAUGAUGGUGUUGAAGUGGGUGUGGUCGAUGUUGGUGAUGGGUUGUGUUCAGCUCCUGGAAGCAGACCUCCGUUUCCCUGGUGGAUUCUUCCCAGGAGCUUCUGUUGUAGUUGCAAAUGGUUUGUGACGUGUGGAAGUUGGUGCCUUUGGUGGAAGGCAGUGUGCUGAUAAUGGGUACAUCGAUAAUAAAAUCGACCUACAAAAAUAUAUUGAUAGAAUCUU